ensembl:lncRNA
GCUAAAUAGAAAUAGACACUUUAAGCCUAACUAAAAGUGCCUGUCUUUUAGGAGAUGAUGUAAUCAAGUUCCUUUUUGAAAAAGGAUACACUCAAAAAGAAAUGGCAGGGAUUAUACAUAUAACGGAUCGUCAGAUACGGAAACAUCUACAGAGAUUAGAGUUAAGGAGACGGAGAGAUGACCGCCCCUUUGAGGCAAUUCUUGCAGCUGUGCAGAAAGAGCUUAAAAACUGGCCAGAAACAAAAGGCAUUCGGGCAAUGCACAGACGGGUGAGAGAUGGAGUUGGAGUGAGGCCCUGUUACAGAGAGGAUGUCCAUGCUAUAAUGCGUGAAUUGGAUGCUUCUGGGUUAGAGAAGAGGCGGCCAGGGCGAUGCCAUAUUCCAAGGAGGCAGUACAAUGCCAAAGGACCAAACUAUGUUUGGCACAUCGAUGGCAAUGACAAGUUGAGGUUCUACGGGAUAUGGCUUCACCUUUGUAUUGAUGGGUUUGUUUAAAUAUACAGACAUAUAUUUUAAUAGGUCUGGAUGACCUGUCUUUGACUCAGCACAUUUUUAUAAGUUCAUAUAAAAAUAGUUGACUUCCAAGAUUGGUUUAUCUUGUCAAUACAUGUAAUUAUACUGUCGUUUAUUUCUUCUCUGGACUUGAAUGAAGCAUGAAUUAUUGAAAAUGUGAAAGCUUUUAGAUCUAUAAUGAUGAUUUACCAGAAACAUAUACAUUUGUUUAGGAAAAUGGCAGCAAUGAAUACUUGAUAAUCAGAUUGAGCAGUUAUCACAAAGUGCAUCGCCACCACUUUAUAAACAAGGGGUGUCAGACCAGUUCCACAGAGGGCCAAGUGUCUGCUGGUUUUUCCUAUAAAUUGGUUCCCAGUUCAGACCUAAACAACCAGGUGAGGGUAGAAACCUACAAAUUAGUGACCUAAUUAAUCAAUCUAGUACAAGGUGAGAGUGAAAACCUGCAGACACUCGGCCCUCCGCGGAACCGGUUUGACACCUGUGUUAUGAACAAUUACUAUGCUUUUACAAUUUACAGAAUGCACUAAUGCAGAAUUAGCUGUAAAAUGUAUGGUUUUAUGUUGCAACAACGAUACAAUUACACCCAUGACCCCAAGUAACAAUAAGUCAUGUUUCUUUUCUGAAUGUGAAUUUCUCAGGUACUCAAGACGUGUGAUUUGGUUACAUGCAGGAACUUCAAACCGCAAACCUGAGUUUGUUGGGAAAUAUUUUCUGGAUGCAACUAUCAAAGAGCAUGGUACCUACUGUAUGAUAUAAAAA